CAGAGGGUGCGAGCGUUGUUCGGAAUUACUGGGCGUAAAGCGCGCGCAGGCGGUCCUUUAAGUCUACCCGUGAAAUGCCGGAGCUCAACUCCGUGCACGCCGGGGGAUACUGGAGGACUGGAGACGAGUAGAGGCAAGCGGAAUUCCGGGUGUAGCGGUGGAAUGCGUAGAGAUCCGGAAGAACACCGGAGGCGAAGGCGGCUUGCUGGGCUUGGUCUGACGCUGAGGCGCGAAAGCGUGGGGAGCGAACAGGAUUAGAUACCCUGGUAGUCCACGCCGUAAACGAUGGGCACUAGACGCGGGUGGGAUCGACCCCUUCCGUGUCGCAGCUAACGCGCUAAGUGCCCCGCCUGGGGAGUACGGCCGCAAGGCUG
rnacentral:rRNA from 1 species